ACCCAACUGGCUUAGUUGGUAGAGCAGGAGAUUUUUGAUCUCCAGGUCAUGAAUUCAAGCCCCAAAUAGGGUG
rnacentral:tRNA from 1 species